rnacentral:sRNA from 1 species
UUCUAGCCCCGAUUGCAGCGGAAAUCCUUUUUUCUAAAGGGCGGCCGGUUCGCGGCCGCCCUUUAGAAAAAAGAUUGAAACGGAAAGCGGGACAGAAC